ACCAAUAUCGGAAAUGGCGAACAUACACGAGAAGAGGAAAGGGAAAUGAUCAAGCAAAACUGAGAAGAGACAAAACUGCAUCUUCGAGAGAACUAAGGUAUUUCCGACUUGAAAUUUUUGAAAUCAGACUUGGAAUUUUCGUAGGAAAUUACUUAGAGGCUGCCAUAGAACUUUAGGGAACGUAAAACCUAGGCGGAUAGUCUAGUGAACUAAGUCUUAAGCGAUUUUUCCUGUCUCGAUAUAUUGUUCCAUAAUUGUUCAUCCAGAUCUUGCAAACCGAUUUAAACUCUCCGAAAAUCGAGAAACGAUCGCCUCUCAUAUCAAGCUCGCUUCCUAAAGAGAGAAAAAACUAGAGACAUGAACGUCGUCUUAAAACCGAUUCGUUUCUGGCAAUUUUCUCGGAACCGACAUAUUCCAAGUCGUCAACGUGGAAACAACCAAAUCACAGUCCAAGCGUCGUCUAAAUCAUCCCGAAUUAUCGAUCAUUCCAAACCUCAGAAGAAGAAACGUACACAACCCUUCAAAGUAUCGGUUCAACCGUUUUCUUUCGUAAAAAAAAAAAAAAAAAAAGGGAGUAGGUACGUAUACUAUACUUGUAUACUCCCAAACUUCAAAAACUUCUGCAAAUCGUCAAGAAUAGGCAAAAACGACAAUCUAAUAUUCGUCUAAACACUAGCAACAUAUCCAGACGAUCAUGAACAUAAAUCUCAAAGACUAUACAUCAUUUCUUGUCGCAAUCAUGCGUACAGAAAACCUGUACCAAUACCAAACUGAAACUCGACGAUUAGCCAAAGUCUUGAAGCCCUUUCCGGCUUUAGAAAGCCAGUUUCGUUUAAAAAUUUCUACGAGAAAAUCACCAAAGCAUUUCUUUCAGUUUCCGUUGAACCAAGCAAGUCACGGAAAAGCAUCGAAAACAUUUGCGACAAAGAAAACUCGAGAAUAGAUGUAGCAUCGUGCACAUUAAAGGGAGCACUUUCCUCCCGAUGGUUAGCUAGAUCAACCUCUGAUUGCCAAUUCGUUCAAGAAACGAAUGUGUUAUGAGAAUCCUCUCAAAAAACCUAUGAAAAACGUUCUGCAACUAGAUCGUAUUAAACUUUGGUAACACUCCAUGUGUAACUCCAAGCAACUUCGCCUAAGAUCAAAA
rnacentral:lncRNA from 1 species